CCUACGGGUGGCAGCAGUGGGGAAUAUUGGACAAUGGGCGAAAGCCUGAUCCAGCCAUGCCGCGUGUGUGAAGAAGGCCUUCGGGUUGUAAAGCACUUUCAGUGGGGAAGAAAGCCUUUAGGCUAAUACCCUCGAGGAAGGACAUCACCCACAGAAGAAGCACCGGCUAACUCCGUGCCAGCAGCCGCGGUAAUACGGAGGGUGCGAGCGUUAAUCGGAAUUACUGGGCGUAAAGCGCGCGUAGGCGGUCUGAUAAGCCGGUUGUGAAAGCCCCGGGCUCAACCUGGGAACGGCAUCCGGAACUGUCAGGCUAGAGUGCAGGAGAGGAAGGUAGAAUUCCCGGUGUAGCGGUGAAAUGCGUAGAGAUCGGGAGGAAUACCAGUGGCGAAGGCGGCCUUCUGGACUGACACUGACGCUGAGGUGCGAAAGCGUGGGUAGCAAACAGGAUUAGAUACCCGAGUAGUC
rnacentral:rRNA from 1 species